GGGGUUUAGCUCAUUUGGUAAGCGCCUGCUUUGCAGGCAGGAUGCCAGCGGUUCGAGUCCGCUAACCUCCACUGACGAAUCUUCUGACAACGAGCCAAUGGUGAGAAUCGUUGUGUGAUGUGAUUUAAGAAUUUAAGUUUGCUGGCAGACCCUAUCUUCUUAUCUUUCC
rnacentral:tRNA from 1 species